rnacentral:rRNA from 1 species
UAUACAAAACUGAAUUCAUAAAUUAUUUUUUUUGAAAUUUAAAUUCAAAACAUUUUUAAAUUAAGUAAAGGUGAUUAAAAAUUUAUGAUUAUUAUUGAAAUUAAGUACUGUAAAGGAAAUUAAUGAAUUGAAUCAUAGAAGAAAUAGAAUUUCGUACCUUUAGCAUCAUGGUUUAGCUAGAUUUAAAUUUUUUAUUAAAAUUUCUCGAAAUCUAAUGAGCUAUCUUUAGUCUAUCUUUUAGGAUUAAAAAGUAAUUGUGGCAAAAAUUUUUUUAGAACUAAAGAUAGAAAUGACAUUUUAUUCGCAUUAGAUGAUAGCUAGUUCUCUUAAAAAACAUAGAAGUGUUAAAAAUUAUAAGUUUAAUCAGCGAUUGUUUGCGUUGUUAAAAAUUUAAUUUUGUUAGGUUUUUGAGGAUAAGCUCAAAGACAUGUAUUAAUAAUUAUAUAGAAUUUCAUUUGGUAUUUAGGCUUGAAAAUAGCCAUAAUUUAGAGUUUGUUAUAACUUCACUAAUAAAAAUGAAAUAUAAUUAAUUUAUUUGUUUUUAAAUAGAGAAAACCUAGUAAUAAAUAACUAAGGUUGAUCUUAUGCUAAAAUGAGUAUUUAUAAUGUUAUAAAAUAUUUUAAUGUUAUUAUAUAUUAAAAUAGAAUUGAAUUGGGAGNUGAUUCCCCAGNANCAGGAAUCUCGGCAUAAANCNNNUUCCGCACUCUUUUUUCAAAACAUCGCUCCUCGGGCAACUNAANGGGGAGUCGGCCCUGCCCCAGGAAUNUUUUCANCGGCCGCGGUACUCUGCCGUGCAAGGGUAGCAUAAUCAUUGCCUUAUAAUUGAGGGCUAGUAUGAAUGGUUGACGAGAAUAUAGCUGUCUCUUUCUAAUNANUAGAANUUUAUUUUUAGGUGAAGAAGCCUAUAUAAAAUUAAAAGACAAGAGGACCCUAUCGAGCUUUAAAUAAAUUAAUGGAAUAANGAUAAUAAAAUUAAAAAUAUUANCAUUAAAGAUUUUGGUUGGGGCGACUGAGGAACAACUAAAGCUUCCUUAAUUCAGAUAAAAAUCUACUAAUAUUGAUCCAAAAAAUUUUGAUUAAUGGAAUUAGUUACCGUAGGGAUAACAGCAUUAUCUUUUUUGAGAGCUCUAAUCGAAAAAAAGGUUUGUGACCUCGAUGUUGGACCAGAAUAUCCCGAAGGUGCAGCAGCCUUCAAAGGUUGGUCUGUUCGACCAUUAAAAUUCUACGUGAUCUGAGUUCAGACCGGCGUGAGCCAGGUCAGUUUCUAUCUUUA